GCAUCCGUAGCUCAGCUGGAUAGAGUACUCGGCUACGAACCGAGCGGUCGGAGGUUCGAAUCCUCCCGGACUGCACCA
rnacentral:tRNA from 2 species